UAGUAAGCGGAGGAAAAGAAACUAACAAGGAUUCCCUCGGUAACUGCGAGUGACCAGGGAAGAGCCCAGCACCGAAGCUCCCGUCCGUAAAGAAGGGCGAGGCGCAAUGUGGUGUGUGAGAAGAAGUCUCCUCUGUACGCGGGAGCCUAAGUCCCCCUGACUGGGGCCACGGCCCAUAGCGGGUGCAAGGCCCUUAUGGCUUCGACCGAGGUAUCUGAGGUUGACUUUCUUCUCUAGAGUCGGGUUGCUUGAAAGUGCAGCCCUAAGUUGGUGGUAAACUCCAUCUAAGGCUAAAUACAGACACGAGACCGAUAGCAAACAAGUACCGUGAGGGAAAGUUGCAAAGAACUUUGAAGAGAGAGUUCAAGAGUACGUGAAACCGCUUGGAGGUAAACGGGUGGGCCCUCGAAGUUCGAAAGGAGGGAUUCAACCCGUCGCUCACGUUCCAGCCGCAGUUUCCGGUGCCCACGAGGGCUCAUAAUGGACCCCCUGGAAACGGGGCCAGCCGGCUCGGCUUGUAAAAGAGGACUGACGGCGGGCGCACUUCCCUCUCAGUAGUACGCCGCGACCGGUUGGGAGUUUAACCCGACGAGGGAAACGCAAUCGCAGCCAUAAGGCGUGGAAGUCGGGCAGGUAUCCGUUGCCGGUGUGCCACCGCUGUCCGUGUCGCUUAAUCGCGCUCGGCACUGCGGACUCAUGGAGACCGGUGGGAGUUAUAGCCCUCUGCGACCCGCUUUGCACUGCAUCCCAACCGCGAAAUAUCUCGUUAAACCGCAGAUGCGUGCCCGCGUGUAAAAACGCGCACCUCGGCACGGGCAGGCAGGAGGMAUUUUGGAGCUGAUAAAGUUUUUCGCGCCGCUUURUUGCGACGGGUAAACGCUCCACCUCCGCCCCUCGCUCGUUUGCCUGAUUUCUGGUGCGGUGGCUGAGCUGGCGGUCGGCGGCGAGUAGGUCGGUAACCCACCCGACCCGUCUUGAAACACGACCCAGGMGUCUAACAUGUGUGCGAGUCGUAGGUCUGCAAAAUGCAGCUAAACCCGAGAACGGCGUAAUUAAAGUGAAGGCUCUUUCAUCCUUCCCGGCCUUUUUGCACGCUCGGGCCUCUCCGUUUACGGACUGUUGCUCGGGAGGUGUCUGAACGGUCGGGUUAGCGUUGGGAGCUCAGGCGGGAUCCUUUCCCGAUUUUCUCGACGGCCCAUUCGUGGGCGCGGUCGCAGAAGAGAGGAGAUUAACUGGGUAACUGGCAACGAAACACACACAAAAAAAGGGAUUCGGCGGACGUUCCCCCUCCCCAAUUCAAGGGCCUUCCUAUGUUUUCAGCUUUUCCCGAUUUUGGGUAGGCGAAUCGAAAGGARUAAGCGGCCUGGGGGUGCAAAAAAUGGUAGAACGGUUAAACGCGUCCGAAAAGCCUUAACAAAUCCGACCUCCCAGAGGCGCACCGCUGGCCCGUUUCAACCGCCCUCGGUUAAUUUCGCCGCCCGCGCUACAAAGGUUUUGCCUCGCGCGCCGCGCUUCUUUUCGUCCUCGGAUUCCGUCCGUAUUCGUUUCGUAACAGAUUCGAUGCGUCCGCGUCUGUCGAGCGUCGAGAGAGUGCGUGCUUCGCGGGUGUGUGCCCAGUGGGUUUUUGAAAGGCGGUCCGAAAGUCGGUGAGGCGGAGCAAGAGCACACACGUUGGGACCCGAAAGAUGGUGAACUAUGCCCGGGCAGGACGAAGCCAGAGGAAACUCUGGUGGAGGUCCGCAGCGAUUCUGACGUGCAAAUCGAUCGUCGGACCUGGGUAUAGGGGCGAAAGACUAAUCGAACCAUCUAGUAGCUGGUUCCCUCCGAAGUUUCCCUCAGGAUAGCUGGCGCUCAUAAAAAUUCAGUCUCAUCCGGUAAAGCGAAUGAUUAGAGGCCUUGGGGCCGAAACGACCUCAACCUAUUCUCAAACUUUCAAUGGGUGAGAUGUCCGGCUUGCUUAAAAUUAGCACGAUUGGCUGUCAGAGUCACUGGUCGUCUGAGGAUUCGUUCCGCUGUCGCACCAAACUUUGCACUGUCCACGUGGGUGAAGCCCGGAUUGACAAAUGGAUGAGAGUGCCCAGUGGGCCACUUUUGGUAAGCAGAACUGGCGCUGUGGGAUGAACCAAACGUUGGGUUACGGCGCCGAAUGCGGACGCGUAUCACACCCCAUGAAAGGUGUUGGUUGCUAUUGACAGCAGGACGGUGGCCAUGGAAGUCGGAA
rnacentral:rRNA from 1 species